rnacentral:rRNA from 1 species
GACGAACGCUGGCGGCGUGCUUAACACAUGCAAGUCGAACGGAAAGGCCCCUUCGGGGGUACUCGAGUGGCGAACAGGUGAGUAACACGUGAGUAACCUGCCCUUGACUUCGGGAUAACUUCAGGAAACUGGGGCUAAUACCGGAUAGGAAUCCUUGCUGCAUGGUGGGGGUUGGAAAGCUUCGGCGGUUUUGGAUGGACUCGCGGCUUAUCAGCUUGUUGGUGGGGUAGUGGCUUACCAAGGCUUUGACGGGUAGCCGGCCUGAGAGGGCGACCGGCCACAUUGGGACUGAGAUACGGCCCAGACUCCUACGGGAGGCAGCAGUGGGGGAUAUUGCACAAUGGGCGGAAGCCUGAUGCAGCAACGCCGCGUGCGGGAUGACGGCCUUCGGGUUGGAAACCGCUUUCAGCAGGGGCGAAGCUUGUGGUGACGGUACCUGCAGAAGAAGCACCGGCUAACUACGUG